CGUCUAGGCGGGUCGGUAAGUCGGUUGUGAAAUCCCUCGGCUCACCCGAGGAAGUGCACCCGAUACUGCCGGUCUUGAGGGCAAGGAGGGGAGAGUGGAACUCCUGGUGGAGCGGUGAAAUGCGUAGAUAUCAGGAGGAACGCCGGUGGCGAAAGCGACUCUCUGGCUUGUUCCUGACGCUGAAGCGCGAAAGCUAGGGGAGCGAAC
rnacentral:rRNA from 1 species